rnacentral:rRNA from 1 species
CCUACGGGGUGCAGCAGUGGGGAAUAUUGGACAAUGGGCGAAAGUCUGAUCCAGCCAUGCCGCGUGUGUGAAGAAGGCCUUCGGGUUGUAAAGCACUUUCAGUGGGGAAGAAAGCCUUGGGGCUAAUACCCUCGAGGAAGGACAUCACCCACAGAAGAAGCACCGGCUAACUCCGUGCCAGCAGCCGCGGUAAUACGGAGGGUGCGAGCGUUAAUCGGAAUUACUGGGCGUAAAGCGCGCGUAGGCGGUCUGAUAAGCCGGUUGUGAAAGCCCCGGGCUCAACCUGGGAACGGCAUCCGGAACUGUCAGGCUAGAGUGCAGGAGAGGAAGGUAGAAUUCCCGGUGUAGCGGUGAAAUGCGUAGAGAUCGGGAGGAAUACCAGUGGCGAAGGCGGCCUUCUGGACUGACACUGACGCUGAGGUGCGAAAGCGUGGGUAGCAAACAGGAUUAGAUACCCCGGUAGUC